ACUAAGCCUAGCCCAACACACCUAACACAUAUCUUCCAUGUUACUAAUACUAUAAAACCUAAAAAUAAAACAUUUACAAGUUUAAAGUAUAGGAGAUAGAAAUUUACAAAGGCGCUAUAGAGAUAGUACCGCAAGGGAAAGAUGAAAGAAGAACAAAACUAAUAGUACAAAACAGCAUAGAUUACACCUACUACCUUUUGCAUAAUGAAUUAACUAGAAUAUUUUGGCAAAAAGAAUUGUAGUCAAACCCCCCGAAACCAAACGAGCUACUUCUGAACAGCUGUAAGAGCGAACUCGUCUAUGUAGCAAAAUAGUGAGAUGAUUUAGAAGUAGAGGUGAAAAGCCUAUCGAGCUUGGAGAUAGCUGGUUAUCCAAACAAGAAUUUUAGUUCAACUUUAAAUUUUCCUAAAAAACUCAUAAUUUCACUGAAAGUUUAAAUGUUAAUUUAAGGAGGGACAGCUCCUUAAGUAAGGAUACAUCCUUGAACAGAGAAUAAACAAUUUAACUACCAUAGUAGGCCUAAAAGCAGCCAUCAAUUAAGAAAGCGUUCAAGCUCAACAAACCACUUAUAUCUUAUCCCAAAAAGCCAGUAUCACUUCCUGUUAAACAAUUGGAUCAAUCUAUUAUCAAAUAGAAGAAAUAAUGUUAAUAUUAGUAACAAGAAUUUAUUCUCCUUGCACAAGCUUAGAUAAACUCAACCAAAUUAACAACCUUAUAAUAAAACUACUAAUUAAUUAUAUUAUAUUGUAAAUAAUUGUUAACCCAACUCAGGUGUGCAUAAAGGAAAGACUAAAAUAAGCAAAAGGAACUCGGCAAACACAAAUCCCGCCUGUUUACCAAAAACAUCACCUCUAGCAUAUCAAGUAUUAGAGGCACUGCCUGCCCGGUGACUUUUUAGUUUAACGGCCGCGGUAUCCUGACCGUGCAAAGGUAGCAUAAUCACUUGUUCUUUAAAUAAGGACUAGUAUGAACGGCUCGACGAGGAUUUAACUGUCUCUUGCUUAUAGUCUGUGAAAUUGACCUUCUCGUGAAGAGGCGAGAAUAAAAAAAUAAGACGAGAAGACCCUAUGGAGCUUAAAUUUACUAACCCAUUAUUAUUUAACCAAAUCUAAUAGAAGUAAACACAUAAGCCAUGGGUUAGCAAUUUUGGUUGGGGUGACCUCGGAGUAAAACAAAACCUCCGAAUGAUUUUAACCUAGACUCCAUAAGUCAAAGUUUCUAAUCAUAAAUUGACCCAGAACAUAUCUGAUCAACGGACCAAGUUACCCUAGGGAUAACAGCGCAAUCCUAUUCAAGAGUUCAUAUCGACAAUAGGGUUUACGACCUCGAUGUUGGAUCAGGACACCCAAAUGGUGCAACCGCUAUUAAAGGUUCGUUUGUUCAACGAUUAAAGUCCUACGUGAUCUGAGUUCAGACCGGAGCAAUCCAGGUCGGUUUCUAUCUAUUAAAAAUUUCUCCCAGUACGAAAGGACAAGAGAAAUAAGGCCAAUAAAAAAUUUACGCCUUAAUAGUAAAAGAAUGAUAUCAUAUCAACUCACCAACUAUUAACUACAACUACCCGAGAGAAGGGUUU
rnacentral:rRNA from 1 species